rnacentral:tRNA from 1 species
GCCAUGAUCAUGUAGUGGUUAGCACUCUGCAUUGUGGCUGCAGCAACUUUGGUUUGAAUCUGAGCCAUGGCA